rnacentral:lncRNA from 1 species
CCCAAAUCGCCUAUUAGUCAUGUUUCUAGGAAAGAGGCCCUCCAUGAGAUAAAUUGCCUGUUGAUCUUAAGACUGGGAUGUUUCCUAUAUCUCAGCAAGAAGUUAAGUGUCAAUCAAUAAAAAUUCAGAAGUCAGCACUCAAGAGAAGGUCAGAACAACGGCCUCCGACCUACCGUGGAUCAAGACAACAGUGUCAGGGGCUCUGUCCUCCCCAGCAACCUGGUACAAGAUGCUUCCCCAGAAGACAGAUGGAAACCUGCCUACGGACAGGGCCCUCCAGCUCAGCUAGCCCACCCGGCACAGCGUCAAGAUGGAGACUGCCUCUAAUGCAGCCCCAGCUGUGUGCGCAUGCUCAGCCGUGCCCAACGCUUUUCCACGCCAUGGACUGUAGCCCGCCAGGCUCCUCUGUCCACGGAAUUUUCCAGGCAAGAAUACUGGGGCCAGUUGCCCUUUCCUCCUCCAGGGAAUCUUCUUGA